GUAAACAUAUGAGAUUUUUACUAUAUAAAGUAAUAAAAUGUGUUAUUUAUUAAAUUAAAAGGACGAAAAAUAUGACUCUAACUUUUAAGUUUGCUUAUGUUGCGAUUCUCUUUAUUUUUCUACUAUUUUUUCUUGAAACUAUAGUCAAUGGUAAAUCUCAUAUCUCAUUCUUUUCAAACUUUCUUCUAAACCCUAUUCAAAAUAAUUGAUUCUAUUUCACUAACAUUUAUUUUUCUUAUUUUACAUCAUAGCAUCAUGCACGAAGAAUGAAGAUUGUACAUCACUAGAAUGUAUAUAUCCUAAAAAUCAGACGUGUGUUUUUUAUACGUGUAUCUGUUGGUAAUUGAUAUUGUUAAGUUGAAAAUAAAUCUAUCUUACUUCCAAACUUGGAAUUCUCUUCUUCUAUGAAAUUGUUGUCAUUUGGUACUCUUUUUAUUUUCUCAAACUUUAUUUUAUAUUUUUAUUUCUUCAACUAGUCCAAAAGUGUAUUAAU
rnacentral:lncRNA from 1 species